rfam:Corchorus capsularis cultivar CVL-1 contig13622, whole genome shotgun sequence.
AUGCCAUGGUGAGGGCAAUCGGCGCAUAGCAUCUUAAAUCUGUCCCAUGCUUGGUAAAAAUUUUCAUCCUUUUGUUGUUGAAAAGCAGCAAUUCUUUGUCUUCCUUU